AAAAUGUCUUUUAUUGAACACAUAGCCUUGGUCAUAGCCUGUAAUCUGAAACAUGAACCAAUUUAUGGCUCAUAUACUACAGGGCAAGACUGCUCUCCCUUCAUGACUGGGCAGUGCAGAGCAGCAAUUUCUCAUCACAGUGGCCUGCCCCAGCAGUGACCCCUCUACCUUCCCCUGGAUUGAGAAAGCUAGUGCAUCCUGUGUCCAGACGAGCUGUCCAUAAGGUAAAAUCAAACAUUAAUCGUUUUCUCUUGAAUUCAUCCUUCUCACUAUUGACAUCUUUUCUUAAACAUAGACCUGAUGAAGCCACUCCUUUGCCAGAAAGCACCAGUGGCUGACUUUGACCACAAGACCAGGAUGACAAAUACUCAACAUGUGAGCGGUCACUCUGCUCUCACCUUCCAUGGCAUGCUCACCCUCUAAAGCUGCUGUCAGUCUUAGACACCUUCCCAUUCCAGCUUUCCAGAGAGGCCAGAAAUAUGUCAGCAGAGACAGCUGAACAAAAUCUGAAUGUCCGUCCAAGAGCUCCCUGCACAAAUGCCUUGCACGAAUACAAACAAGCCGAGGGAACUUCUCUAAGAAGAUGGCUCAAGAAUCCCACAACCAUGAUAUCUUCUGUCAGGGAAACUUCUCUUUGGCUGGAAGUAGUGGGCCAGAAGGACCAUUUGAACCAAGACUGACCUGUGGCCCCUGGAAACCCUAAGCAGCGGUUUGGCAUCUUGAGAAUCUGUCAUGCUUUGUGGAAGAGUCUAGUCCUGUCUGGA
rnacentral:lncRNA from 1 species